rnacentral:rRNA from 1 species
CCUACGGGAGGCAGCAGUGAGGAAUAUUGGACAAUGGUCGAAAGACUGAUCCAGCCAUGCCGCGUGCAGGAAGACGGCCCUAUGGGUUGUAAACUGCUUUUGUUUGGGAAGAAACCUUUCUACGUGUAGAAAGCUGACGGUACCAUACGAAUAAGCACCGGCUAACUCCGUGCCAGCAGCCGCGGUAAUACGGAGGGUGCAAGCGUUAUCCGGAUUUAUUGGGUUUAAAGGGUCCGUAGGCGGACUUAUAAGUCAGUGGUGAAAUCCUGCAGCUCAACUGUAGAACUGCCAUUGAUACUGUAAGUCUUGAAUUCGGUUGAAGUGGGCGGAAUAUGGCAUGUAGCGGUGAAAUGCUUAGAUAUGCCAUAGAACACCGAUUGCGUAGGCAGCUCACUAAGCCUGGAUUGACGCUGAGGGACGAAAGCGUGGGUAGCGAACAGGAUUAGAUACCCUGGUAGUCCACGCCGUAAACGAUGAUUACUCGACAUUAGUGAUACACGUAGUGUNANAGAGAAGANAUAAGUACUACACG